UGUAAAGCAGAGAAAUUGGCAGCUGAAAUGCCAGUGCUGCAGCUAUAACCUUUCAAAAAGUUGCUCUUUGUAAGUCCUUCUGCCAUGAGAAGUCAUUUUAAAGGAGGUUUUUCUUUUACUUGACUUGAUGUCGUACUCACCGUGGGAAAGGAGGGAGGCAGGCGCUGGCAGGUCACUAAAGGCUUGAUGUGAACAGCGAGUGCUGCGACAGGAACACACAGAACACACAAACCCCUGCCCGUUCUCCCUCUGUUCACGGCUCCAGCUGAAAAACUGCCUGAUCACACUUAGCCUGGAGAGCACUAGGGGUUUGGUUUUGGUUUGUUGGUUUUUUUUUUCAUGGUAUGGAAUAGGAAAAGCCUAAAACUCACAGGGCUCAGGGAGAUUUCAAUGCCUUCUGGGAAACAAUUUUGUUUUUAAGGUGUGGACGUUUGCACGGGUGAAGCCUGGUGGUCGUGAGCGUGAUCCCUGUGAAGCUCAGACUCUUCAUGGAGACCCUGAUUCUCAGGAAAAGGGUGAAAAAGUCCCACUCCGCUUCGUAGCUUCAAGGGAGGAAGGACGGGGGAACAUUCCCAGAAGACCUUUUAUCCACAGAACUCCACCGCAGAAACAAGCAUGGAAGCCGACAUAAUUAAAGGCUUCUUUUUCCCCAGCCAUGGUCCUCUGGUCUUUGAAGAGCUCGGGAAUCCCUGAGGAAUGCUCUGAACUCUGCAAUAUUUUGAUAGCUGCAAUAACAUAAUCAAAAGAUGCUUUCAUGAAGAGAGCACCUUGUGUGAAUUGAGGCUGCCCCCUCUCC
rnacentral:lncRNA from 1 species